UUGCACGCUGGCGGCAGGCCUAACACAUGCAAGUCGAGCGGAUGAAGGAAGCUUGCUCCUGGAUUCAGCGGCGGACGGGUGAGUAAUGCCUAGGAAUCUGCCUGGUAGUGGGGGAUAACGUCCGGAAACGGGCGCUAAUACCGCAUACGUCCUGAGGGAGAAAGUGGGGGAUCUUCGGACCUCACGCUAUCAGAUGAGCCUAGGUCGGAUUAGCUAGUUGGUGGGGUAAAGGCCUACCAAGGCGACGAUCCGUAACUGGUCUGAGAGGAUGAUCAGUCACACUGGAACUGAGACACGGUCCAGACUCCUACGGGAGGCAGCAGUGGGGAAUAUUGGACAAUGGGCGAAAGCCUGAUCCAGCCAUGCCGCGUGUGUGAAGAAGGUCUUCGGAUUGUAAAGCACUUUAAGUUGGGAGGAAGGGCAGUAAGUUAAUACCUUGCUGUUUUGACGUUACCAACAGAAUAAGCACCGGCUAACUUCGUG
rnacentral:rRNA from 1 species